rnacentral:rRNA from 1 species
UACGUAGGGGGCAAGGCGUUGUCCGGAUUUAUUGGGCGUUAAAGAGCGUGUAGGCGGCUAGGUAGGUCCGUUGUGAAAACUCGAGGCUCAACCUCGAGACGUCGAUGGAAACCAUCUGGCUAGAGUCCGGAAGAGGAGAGUGGAAUUCCUGGUGUAGCGGUGAAAUGCGCAGAUAUCGGGAGGAACACCUAUGGCGAAGGCAGCUCGCUGGGACGUUACUGACGCUGGAGACGCGAAAGCGUGGGGGAGCAAACAGG